UUCGCAAUGCCCGAAAGGGUGACGAAGCGACGCCGCGUGUGGGAAGAAGGCCUUCGGGUUGUAAACCCCUGUCGGGAGUUAGGAAGUGUAAGAGUGUUAAUAGCGCUUUUACUCGACAAAGGCUCCGGAGGAAGCCACGGCUAACUCUGUGCCAGCAGCCGCGGUAAUACAGAGGCGGCAAGCGUUGUUCGGAAUUAUUGGGCGUAAAGAGCACGUAGGCGGCUUUGCAAGUCGGUUGUGAAAGCCUUCCGCUUAACGGAAGAACAGCAGCUGAUACUACAAAGCUUGAGUACGGGAGGGGAGGGUGGAACUUCUGGUGGAGCGGUGAAAUGCGUAGAUAUCAGAAGGAACGCCGGCGGCGAAAGCGACUCUCUGGCCCGAAACUGACGCUGAGUGUGCGAAAGCUAGGGGAUCAAACGGGAUUAGAUACCCCGGUAGUCCUAGCCGUAAACGAUGGGCACUAAGUAGAGGGGUUUU
rnacentral:rRNA from 1 species